rnacentral:rRNA from 1 species
UACAGAGGUCCCGAGCGUUACUGAGAAUCACUGGGUUUAAAGGGUGCGUAGGUGGCGCGUUAAGUCAGUUGUGAAAUCCCCGGGCUCAACCCGGGAACUGCUUCUGAUACUGGCGUGCUUGAGGCCAGUAGGGGUCACUAGAACUGACGGUGGAGCGGUGAAAUGCGUAGAUAUCGGGAGGAACACCUGUGGCGAAAGCGGCUCACUGGACCACAACUGACGCUGAGGCGCGAAAGCUAGGGGAGCAAACAGG